GUGAAGUAGUUCUGAGAAUAAUUUAUGAGGGGAAAAAAAAAGCCAGGUUUCUGACAGCAGAGGACAAAAGCAGCAUUGAGGAAAAACAGGAAGACUAAACUGUGGAUGCAGCCACUGAACACAGCAAGCCAUGCAAGUGAACAAGUAACUAAAAAGGCAUGUAACCAAUGUUACAUGUAGCCAUUUUUUUUCACAAUAAAAGAAACUCUUAAAAUGUUUCCAAAUUUUAAUUUUUGUGUCCUUUUUAACAGAGCCCUCACAUUGGCCCAGUGUAAAUGAGUUAUUUAGGAAUAAAGUUCUCAUCAGCGCCACUAGGAGUAAGCUGGUAAGUGGAUACUUGCUAACCUGCCUGAGAGCUGCAUGCAUUUUAAGUUAAGUGCCCUGUGCUUAUUUACAGAACAAUACCUAAGCCUGUUACCAGAUCUUGUGCAAUAUACUAUGAAACCCUCUUUUCCUCUUGAUUAAAGCGUUGUCCACAAUUCAAGAAUUGUAGCCAAUACAACCC